rnacentral:rRNA from 1 species
ACGACGGAGCACGUGAAAUUCCGUCGGAAUCUGGGAGGACCAUCUCCUAAGGCUAAAUACUCUCUAGUGACCGAUAGUGAACCAGUACCGUGAGGGAAAGGUGAAAAGCACCCCGGAAGGGGAGUGAAAUAGAACCUGAAACCGUGUGCUUACAAGUAGUCAGAGCCCGUUAAUGGGUGAUGGCGUGCCUUUUGUAGAAUGAACCGGCGAGUUACGAUUUGAUGCAAGGUUAAGCAGUAAAUGUGGAGCCGUAGCGAAAGCGAGUCUGAAUAGGGCGUUUAGUAUUUGGUCGUAGACCCGAAACCAGGUGAUCUACCCUUGGUCAGGUUGAAGUUCAGGUAACACUGAAUGGAGGACCGAACCGACUUACGUUGAAAAGUGAGCGGAUGAACUGAGGGUAGCGGAGAAAUUCCAAUCGAACCUGGAGAUAGCUGGUUCUCUCCGAAAUAGCUUUAGGGCUAGCCUCAAGUGAUGAUUAUUGGAGGUAGAGCACUGUUUGGACGAGGGGCCCCUCUCGGGUUACCGAAUUCAGACAAACUCCGAAUGCCAAUUAAUUUAACUUGGGAGUCAGAACAUGGGUGAUAAGGUCCGUGUUCGAAAGGGAAACAGCCCAGACCACCAGCUAAGGUCCCAAAAUAUAUGUUAAGUGGAAAAGGAUGUGGCGUUGCCCAGACAACUAGGAUGUUGGCUUAGAAGCAGCCAUCAUUUAAAGAGUGCGUAAUAGCUCACUAGUCGAGUGACACUGCGCCGA